CAUGAUAUCGAUAGAAGCAACGAUACUUUUUUUUUAUCUCUUUUUGUCGAUGGGGCUUUCAUGGGAUUAGGUUGGUGAAGAUACCUUUGGUCUUCAAUCUCUAUUAGUAUUUGAGUUCGAGGAGCAGAUAAUAAGAUGUAGGUGUCAAAUCAUCGAGGUGGACUUUUGGACCUUGAAUUUUUUCGAGAUCGAUCAGAAUCAUACCCUUGUUGAUUUCUACAGUCUUCUUCUCAAAGCUAC
rnacentral:lncRNA from 1 species